rnacentral:rRNA from 1 species
AUUGAACGCUGGCGGCAGGCUUAACACAUGCAAGUCGAGCGGGGGAGGUUGCUUCGGUAACUGACCUAGCGGCGGACGGGUGAGUAAUGCUUAGGAAUCUGCCAUUUAGUGGGGGACAACAUUCCGAAAGGAAUGCUAAUACCGCAUACGUCCUACGGGAGAAAGCAGGGGAUCUUCGGACCUUGCGCUAAAUGAUGAGCCUAAGUCGGAUUAGCUAGUUGGUGGGGUAAAGGCCUACCAAGGCGACGAUCUGUAGCGGGUCUGAGAGGAUGAUCCGCCACACUGGGACAGAGACACGGCCCGGACUCCUACGGGAGGCAGAAGUGGGGAAUAUUGGACAAUGGGCGGAAGCCUGAUCCAGCCAUUCCGCGUGUGUGAAGAAGGCCUUAUGGUUGUAAAGCACUUUAAGCGAGGAGGAGGCUACCUAGAUUAAUACUCUAGGAUAGUGGACGUUACUCGCAGAAUAAGCACCGGCUAACUCUGUGCCAGCCGCCGCCGUAACAC